GAUGAACGCUGGCGGCGUGCUUAACACAUGCAAGUCGAACGGAAAGGCCCAAGCUUGCUUGGGUACUCGAGUGGCGAACGGGUGAGUAACACGUGGGUGAUCUGCCCUGCACUUCGGGAUAAGCCUGGGAAACUGGGUCUAAUACCGGAUAGGACGAUGGUUUGGAUGCCAUUGUGGAAAGUUUUUUCGGUGUGGGAUGAGCUCGCGGCCUAUCAGCUUGUUGGUGGGGUAAUGGCCUACCAAGGCGUCGACGGGUAGCCGGCCUGAGAGGGUGUACGGCCACAUUGGGACUGAGAUACGGCCCAGACUCCGACGGGAGGCAGCAGGGGGGAAUAUUGCACAAUGGGCGCAAGCCUGAUGCAGCGACGCCGCGUGGGGGAUGACGGCCUUCGGGUUGUAAACUCCUUUCGCUAGGGACGAAGCGUUUUUGUGACGGUACCUGGAGAAGAAGCACCGGCUAACUACGUG
rnacentral:rRNA from 1 species